rnacentral:lncRNA from 1 species
AGCGGCCGGAUCGGCCUGCAGCGCCGCGCCUCGCCUCUCCCUUCGCUCGGCGCUCUGCGCCUUUAAACGCAAGCACCGGCAUCCUCCUCUCUUCCUCCCUCCCUUCGCCAUUUUCUCCACCGAGCCAAGCUGCUCCGCCGGCCAAAUCCACCCUUCUCUGGCCACCGCAGUCCAAUAGCGCGCGCCCGUAGCUGGACCAACAUCCCAGCUCCCUCCUCGACCUGUCACCGCCGCUCGCCAUCCAUCCCACCGCCGGGGAUUUCGAUUUCCCCGUCCGCCAUCUCCAAGUCACAAGUUCCUCCGCCUGCGAAAUCGGCUCUACUCCCGCCACCUCAUUCCAAUCCCCCACCUCCGAAGCUUCGGUACCUCCCCAACCUCGUCCUCAAGAGACACAAAGCACCGCCCGGGAUCCACCUCGUCAGAAAUCGGUCUCUCCCCGACCGCCUGUGCGCCACCGCCCGCCAUUGCCGCGCCUCCCGUGGACAGCCCGCCUCGGGCCACCUCCACGCCAACAACCCACAUGAAUGGAACACCGGUGAGCUCCUGAUGCUG